UACGAAGGGGGCUAGCGUUGUUCGGAAUCACUGGGCGUAAAGCGCACGUAGGCGGACUGUUAAGUCAGGGGUGAAAUCCUGGGGCUCAACCCCAGAACUGCCUUUGAUACUGGCGGUCUUGAGUGUGGAAGAGGUUGGUGGAACUCCGAGUGUAGAGGUGAAAUUCGUAGAUAUUCGGAAGAACACCAGUGGCGAAGGCGGCCAACUGGUCCACUACUGACGCUGAGGUGCGAAAGCGUGGGGAGCAACAGGG
rnacentral:rRNA from 1 species